GACGAACGCUGGCGGCGUGCUUAACACAUGCAAGUCGAACGGAAAGGCCCUGCUUUUGUGGGGUGCUCGAGUGGCGAACGGGUGAGUAACACGUGAGUAACCUGCCCUUGACUUUGGGAUAACUUCAGGAAACUGGGGCUAAUACCGGAUAGGAGCUCCUGCUGCAUGGUGGGGGUUGGAAAGUUUCGGCGGUUGGGGAUGGACUCGCGGCUUAUCAGCUUGUUGGUGGGGUAGUGGCUUACCAAGGCUUUGACGGGUAGCCGGCCUGAGAGGGUGACCGGCCACAUUGGGACUGAGAUACGGCCCAGAGUGCUACGGGAGGCAGCAGUGGGGAAUAUUGCACAAUGGGCGGAAGCCUGAUGCAGAAACGCCGCGUGCGGGAUGACGGCCUGCGGGUUGUAAACCGCUUUCGCCUGUGACGAAGCGUGAGUGACGGUAAUGGGUAAAGAAGCACCGGCUAACUACGUG
rnacentral:rRNA from 1 species